UACAGAGGUGGCAAGCGUUGUUCGGAAUUACUGGGCGUAAAGAGCGCGUAGGCGGUUUGAUAAGUCGAGUGUGAAAGCCCCCGGCUCAACUGGGGAGGGUCAUUCGAAACUGGUCGACUCGAAGGCAGGAGAGGGUAGUGGAAUUCCCGGUGUAGUGGUGAAAUGCGUAGAUAUCGGGAGGAACACCAGUGGCGAAGGCGACUACCUGGCCUGUUCUUGACGCUGAGGCGCGAAAGCUAGGGGAGCAAACGGG
rnacentral:rRNA from 1 species